GAUGAACGCUGGCGGCGUGCCUAAUACAUGCAAGUCGAGCGAACGGACGAGAAGCUUGCUUCUCUGAUGUUAGCGGCGGACGGGUGAGUAACACGUGGAUAACCUACCUAUAAGACUGGGAUAACUUCGGGAAACCGUAGCUAAUACCGGAUAAUAUUUUGAACCGCAUGGUUCAAAAGUGAAAGACGGUCUUGCUGUCACUUAUAGAUGGAUCCGCGCUGCAUUAGCUAGUUGGUAAGGUAACGGCUUACCAAGGCAACGAUGCAUAGCCGACCUGAGAGGGGGAGGGGCCAAAAGGGAACUGAGACACGGGCCAGACCCCUAGGGGAGGCAGCAGUAGGGAAUUUUCCGCAAUGGGAGAAAGCCUGACGGAGCAACGCCGCGGGGGGGAUGAAGGUUUUCGGAUUGUAAAACUUUUUUAUUAGGGAAAAAAAAAUGUGAAAGUAAAUGGGCAAAUCUUGACGGUACCUAAGAAAAAAGCCACGGAAAACUCCGU
rnacentral:rRNA from 1 species